UUUUUUGCAAUGCAACCCACUGUAUCUUUGCAAUGCAUCGGUUUUUUGCAUCCCUAUUUUGCAAUGCAUCCCAGUUUUGCAAUACAUCCCACUCUAUCUUUGCAAUGCAUCCCAUUCUAUUUUUGCAAUGCAUCCCAUUCUUGCAAUGCAUCCCAUGAUAUCUUUGCAAUGCAUCCCAUUGUAUCUUUGCAAUACAUCCCAUUCUAUAUUUGCAAUGCAUCCCUAUUUUGCAAUGCAUCCUAUUCUAUCUUCACAAUACACCCCUAUUUUGCAAUGCAUCCCAUUAUAUUCUUGCAGUGCAUCCCAUUUUUGCAAUGCAUCCCAUUAAAACCUUGCAAUGCAUCCCUUUUUUGCAAUGCAACCCAUUGUAUCUUUGCAAUGCAUCCCUUUUUUGCAAUGCAUCCCACAAUAUCUUUGCAAUGCAUCCCUUUUUUGCAAUGCAUCCCAUUUUUGCAAUGCAUCCCACUGUAUCUUUGCAAUGCACCCCCCAUCUCUUUUUUGCAAUGCAUCCUAUUCUAUCUUUGCUAUGCAGCCCAUUUUUGCAAUGCAUCCCAUGAUAUCUUUGCAAUGCAUCCUUUUUUUGCACUGCAUCCCACUCAAUCUUCACAAUACACCCCCUUUUUGCAAUGCAUUCCAUUCUAUUUUUGCAAUUCAUCCCAUUUUUGCACUGCAUCCCAUUCUAUAUUUGCCACGCAGCCCAUUUUUGCAAUGCAUCCCAUUCUAUCUUUGCAAUGCAUCCCUUUUUUUGCAACAUAUCCCAUUAUAUCUUUGCAAUGCACCCCCCAUCUCUUUUUUGCAAUGCAUCCUAUUCUAUCUUCGCUAUGCAGCCCUUUUUUGCAAUGCAUCCCAUUGUAUCUUUGCAAUGCAUCCCUUUUGUGCAAUGCAUCCUAUCGUAUCUUUGCAAUACAUCUCUUUUUUGCAACGCAUCCCCUCUUUGCAACACAUCCCAUGAUAUCUUUGCAGUGCAUCCCAUUCUAUAUUUGCAAUUCAUCCCUUUUUUUGCAUUGCAUCCCUUUUUUGCAAUGUAUCCCAUUACGUUUUUGCAACACAUACCAUUAUAUGUUUGCAAUACGUCCCUUUUUUGCAAUGCAUCCUGUUCUAUCUUUGUAAUUCAUCCCUUUUUUGCAAUGCAUCCCUUUCUCUCUUCACAAUACACCACUUUUUUGCAACGCAUCCCAUUAUAUGUUUGCAAUGCAUCCCACAAUAUCUUUGCAAUUCAUCCCUUUUUUGCAAUGCAUCCCAUUAUGUUUUUGCAAUGCAACCCACCAUAUCUUUGCAAUGCAUCCCUUCUUUGCAAUGCAUCCCAUUCUAUAUUUGCAGUACAUCCCUUUUUUGCAGUGCAUCCCAUUGUAUCUUUGCAAUGCAUCCCUUUUUUGNNNNNNNNNNNNNNNNNNNNNNNNNUGCACUCCCUGCAUUCCAGCCCCAUAAAUAGCACUUUGCAGCGCCUGGAGCACAACGGGCAGCUCCUCUUUGCAAUGCAGCCUUUGCUUUUUGCUAUGCAGCCCCUUCUAGUUUUGCAAUGCAUCCCUUUUUUGCAAUGCAACCCACUGUAUCUUUGCAAUGCAUCGGUUUUUUGCAUCCCUAUUUUGCAAUGCAUCCCAGUUUUGCAAUACAUCCCACUCUAUCUUUGCAAUGCAUCCCAUUCUAUUUUUGCAAUGCAUCCCAUUCUUGCAAUGCAUCCCAUGAUAUCUUUGCAAUACAUCCCAUUCUAUAUUUGCAAUGCAUCCCUUUUUUGCACUGCAUCCCAUUCUAUCUUCACAAUACACCCCCUUUUUUGCAAUGCAUCCCAUUAUAUCCUUGCAGUGCAUCCCAUUUUUGCAAUGCAUCCCAUUAAAACCUUGCAAUGCAUCCCUUUUGUGCAAUGCAACCCAUUGUAUCUUUGCAAUGCAUCCCUUUUUUGCAAUGCAUCCCACAAUAUCUUUGCAAUGCAUCCUUUUUUUGCACUGCAUCCUAUUUUAUCUUCACAAUACACCCCUUUUUUUGCAAUGCAUUCCAUUCUAUCUUUGCAAUGCAUCCUUUUUUUGCAAUGCAUCCCCUUGUAUCUUUGCAAUGCAUCCCUUUUUUGCAAUGCAUCCCACAAUAUCUUUGCAAUGCAUCCCUUUUUUGCAAUGCAACCCAUUGUCUCUUUGCAGUGCAUCCCACUGUAUCUUUGCAAUGCACCCCCCAUCUCUUUUUUGCAAUGCAUCCUAUUCUAUUUUUGCAAUGCAUCCCAUUCUUGCAAUGCAUCCCAUGAUACCUUUGCAAUGCAUCCCUUUUUUGCACUGCAUCCCAUUCUAUCUUCACAAUACACCCCUUUUUUUGCAAUGCAUUCCAUUCUAUUUUUGCAAUUCAUCCCCUUUUUGCACUGCAACCCAUUGUAUCUUUGCAAUGCAUCCCAUUCUAUAUUUGCAAUGCAUCCCUUUUUUGCAAUGCAACCCAUUGUAUGUUUUCUAUGCAUCCCAUUUUUGCAAUGUAUCCCAUUCUAUCUUUGCAAUGCAUCCCUUUUUUGCUAUGCAUCCCACUAUAUGUUUGCAACGCAUCCCACAAUAUCUUUGCAAUGCAUCCCUUUCUUGCAAUGCAUCCCUUUUUUGCAACACAUCCCACAAUAUCUCUGCAAUGCAUCCCUUCUUUGCAACGACUCCCAUUUUUGCAAUGCAUCCCAGCAGUUCCCUGCAGGUGAAGCAAAGCCCGACCUAUGGGGCAGAGCUCUAUGGGGCCGAGCUCUAUGGGGCAGGACUCUGCUCUAUGGGGCAGGGCUCUAUGGGGCAGCAGGGCUCUAUGGGGCAGGGCUCUAUGGGGCAGGGCUCUAUGGGGCAGGGCUCUGCUCUAUGGGGCAGCAGGGCUCUAUGGGGCAGCACUGCAGGGCUCUAUGGGGCAGCAGGGCUCUAUGGGGCAACACAGCAGGGCUCUAUGGGGCAGGGCUCUAUGGGGCAGCACUGCAGGGCUCUAUGGGGCAGGGCUCUAUGGGGCAGNCAUCCCUUCUUUGCAAUGCAUCCCAUUCUAUAUUUGCAGUACAUCCCUUUUUUGCAGUGCAUCCCAUUGUAUCUUUGCAAUGCAUCCCUUUUUUGCUAUGCAUCCCACUAUAUGUUUGCAACGCAUCCCACAAUAUCUUUGCAAUACAUCCCUUUCUUGCUAUGCAUCCCUUUUUUGCAACGCAUCCCACUGUAUCUUUGCAAUGCAUCCCUUCUUUGCAAUGCAACCCAUUCUAAAUUUGCACUACAUCCCUUUUUUGCAAUGCAUCCCUUUAUAUCUUUGCAAUGCACCCCCCCAUCUCUUUUUUGCAAUGCAUCCUAUUCUAUCUUUGCUAUGCAGCCCAUUUUUGCAAAGCAUCCCAUUGUAUCUUUGCAAUGCAUCCCUUUUUGCAAUGCAUCCUAUUGUAUCUUUGCAUUACAUCUCUUUUUUGCAAUGCAUCCCUUCUUUGCUACACAUCCCUUUCUUGCAAUGCAUCCCCUCUUUGCUAUGCAUCCCACUAAAUAUUUGCAAUGCAUCCCACAAUAUCUUUGCAAUGCAUCCCUUCUUUGCAAUGCAUCCCUUUUUUGCAACGCAUCCCACUGUAUCUUUGCAAUGCACCCCUUCUUUGCAAUGCAACCCAUUCUAUAUUUGCACUACAUCCCUUUUUUGCAAUGCAUCCCAUUGUAUCUUUGCAAUUCAUCCCCCAUCUCUUUUUUGCAAUGCAUCCUAUUCUAUCUUUGCUAUGCAGCCCAUUUUUGCAAUGCAUCCUAUUGUAUCUUUGCAAUACAUCUCUUUUUUGCAAUGCAUCCCUUCUUUGCUACACAUCCCUUUCUUGCAAUGCAUCCUAUGAUAUCUUUGCAAUGCAUCCCAUUCUAUAUUUGCAAUUCAUCCCUUUUUUUGCAUUGCAUCCCUUUUUUGCAAUGCAUCCCAUUACGUUUUUGCAACACAUACCAUUAUAUGUUUGCAAUACAUCCCAUUUUUGCAAUGCAUCCUGUUCUAACUUUGCAAUUCAUCCCUUUUUUGCAAUGCAUCCCUUUCUCUCUUCACAAUACACCACUUUUUUGCAAUGCAUUCCAUUCUAUGUUUGCAAUGCAUCCCACUGUAUAUUUGCAAUGCAUCCCUUGUUUGCACUGCAUCCCUUUUUUGCAAUGCAUCCCACUGUAUCUUUGCAAUUCAUCCCUUCUUUGCAAUGCAUCCCAUUCUAUAUUUGCAGUACAUCCCUUUUUUGCAGUGCAUCCCAUUGUAUCUUUGCAAUGC
ensembl:lncRNA